ACCCCAACAGUUAUACUAACUUACAAAUAUCAUCAAUGUAGUACUUAAAACCUGAUAUUUAGUUAACCAAACUCUAAACUGUUGUGUUCUGUCAAUGACUAAUGAGGUUUUAAUUUUAUUGGAAUAUAAUUCUUUGAGUAAACAUUGCACCGCUACAUAAUAAUUUUGAGUAUCCAGUCGUACGUAGCGUCUGAUGUCAUCAACGUCUUUCUAGGCUUUCAGAAAAAUCAAGAUGGCUAACCUCGAGCGGGCAUGAGAGAUUUUCGAGCAUAACGGAUAAGAAUAUUAACAUAUUUUUGCAUGUACCUGCAAGUCUCAUCAUCGAGUCAAGCGAUCAUUUUCAUAAGUUUUGUCCUGCUUUUUGUUAUAAGCGUUCUCAUUUGGCUCAAGUGGAGGCCAAGAGGUGUGUCAUUUCAAUCUGCAUUGAAAUGGUCCUGGUUUGGUUAUUUCAUCAAAAAACUUCCAAAAGUGUGCAAAUUUUGUUAGAAAACCAAAACUUCCAGAGGGCGAGCCAAUACUUUCAUCCAUGACUGUAUCGCUUGUUUGAUUACCUUCCUGUACAUCUAGGGAUCAUUGUCGGUAGGGCCUAGACUGCAGUGAACAAGUGGGGAAAUAUUUCUACAAUUAUUAUCAUUUUUGAUUUGUUAAUCAAGGAGGAACAUGAUGUCAACAUGAGACUCACUUUGUCCCUUUGUGCACUUCCUGUCUACCUACGUGAGGAUGAUUCUGAGUUCUUCAAGACCUGCAAUCAAGAAGAGGAGCAAGAUAUCAGCGCUGCUCCUGUUGCUCUCCUCACAUCUGGGGCGGGCACCUUCAGUGCCGAGAAGUGGUUGUAGUCUUCGUUGUGGUUGAGGGGGAGGUUGUUUUGAGGGAUCUUCCAAGGUUUGCUGAAGCAUUUAUAUUGUUUGGCCUCAUUUAUGCUUUCAAUUUGGAGUAUCCAAAGAAACUCAUCCACACAUUCACGUUCAUUCGGAAAAUACAGAUGUGUCUGGAGAACAAACCACUGAAACCAUCCCUACUGAAUUUGAAAAAUGAUUUGUUGAACUAAACAGAAAGCUUCAGUGUAAUUAUACAUAAAGGCUCCAUACAUUCUUGUGCUCAUACAGAAGGCUUGUUUUUUUGUUUUUUUUUUCAAAGGAGCGGCCCACAUGUAAAUGUUAACAUUGGCCUGCUUGUUACAGGAAGCCUGUAAAUGUUUUUUAGGUGAAUUUAAAAUUAUGUAGUUGUUUGAUGUGUCAGGGGAUGAACAAAAAGAUUUUUGAGGGUUAAUUUUCUACCAUCCAACAUGUUCAGUUUGGUGUUGUUAAAAAGCUGUCACUUUGUUGUCAUGCAUAGGGGGUUCAGCCAUUGAUAAUGAUUGUGAGCACCUUUGGAAAUGCUUUGUCAAUGCCAUAAACUUGUUAUGUGU